UGGGGAAUAUUGCACAAUGGGCGCAAGCCUGAUGCAGCCAUGCCGCGUGUAUGAAGAAGGCCUUCGGGUUGUAAAGUACUUUCAGCGAGGAGGAAGGCGUUGUGGUUAAUAACCGCAGCGAUUGACGUUACUCGCAGAAGAAGCACCGGCUAACUCCGUGCCAGCAGCCGCGGUAAUACGGAGGGUGCAAGCGUUAAUCGGAAUUACUGGGUGUAAAGCCCACGCAGGCGGUCUGUCAAGUCGGAUGUGAAAUCCCCGGGCUCAACCUGGGAACUGCAUCCGAAACUGGCAGGCUAGAGUCUUGUAGAGGGGGGUAGAAUUCCAGGUGUAGCGGUGAAAUGCGUAGAGAUCUGGAGGAAUACCGGUGGCGAAGGCGGCCCCCUGGACAAAGACUGACGCUCAGGUGCGAAAGCGUGGGGAGCAAACA
rnacentral:rRNA from 1 species